AUUUCAGGCUGGGCUGAAAGAUCCUCCGGCACAACAAAGCUGGGCCCAGGAGAUAUCCUGCAUGACUCAUCAGUUGGCCAUGCAUUGGAGACUUCCGGCCCUCAGAGAAACCAGACACAGAGAGCCAUUGUUUGCCUUGGAAGCCCCCCGGCAUACCAGGCUCAAUGGGGGGGCAGAAACUCCCUGAACUCAUACCCACAGUCUACCCACAAUUUGGCCCACACCCAGGGACACAGCCCCAAGGGGGCAAGGACUGGAG
rnacentral:lncRNA from 1 species